AUUCUACAGAUAUAUAUAUAUAAAAAAGAAACAAAAAACUCGGUUUUCUCCUCUGUUCUUUUCAUUGACAACGCUCCAAACUUUCGCUUUAAGAAGGCGCGUCUCUACGCUGCGGAGUGUUUAUCACAACCCUUAAAGUGGCACAUGGAAACCAGAGCUGAUCGGUGCAUGGAAGAAACCUCCGGCAUUUCUGCUUAGUGUGAGGAGGCGCUUCCGUGAGGCUGAUCCACGGAGCGCGUUGUGUUCUGAUUGUGGGUAUAUUUAUGCGGCUGCCCCCACACCGCGCCGCGCCACGCCGGGGGGAAAAAGGAUCAGCAGAUUCCGACAGAUGGACGGACUGGUGGUGGGCUCGAGAUUUAAAGGAAGCAUGAAAUAGUCAAGCCGUCAGAAAGGUGCAGCACAUUGAAGUGGCAUGGAGGCACCGCCGGGGACGAGCUGCUGUGAGCCCACCUUGGCCAACUGGGAGUGACGGAGUCGCCAAACUGGUUGGGAUGGCAGCAUCCAGUAACUCAAGCCUCUCAGGUUCAUCGGUUUCCUCUGAUCCUGAUGACUAUCAGCCACCCAUAUGGAAGUCUUACUUGUACCAGCUCCAGCAGGAAGCUCCAAGACCAAAGAGGAUCACAUGUCCUCAGGAGGUCAGUGCAUCUGUGAAUGUUAAAAAGCUGGCCGCUGAAGGGAGCUGGAGCGAGUUCAUGUUAUGUUCAUGAUUUAGCUCGUAGAAAAAAAAAGAAUAAA